rnacentral:misc_RNA from 1 species
UCCGGUUUGACACCGGCAGUCUCCUAUGAGUCCCCGACAUGACUCGCUGGCAACAUAGGAUAGGGGUUGCGCUCGUUGCGGGACUUAACCCAACACCUCACGGCACGAGCUGACGACAACCAUGCACCACCUGUAUAGGGCCCCGAAGGACACUACAUCUCUGCAGCUUUUCCCUAUAUUUCAAGCCCUGGUAAGGUGGGGAUGAGUAGCUAAGCCUUC